ensembl:lncRNA
CCCGCCUCUGCCCGGGGAGUCACGGCCCCGUUUGUUCUAAAGUACUUGGAAAGAUCUCAGCGUGCCCCAUUAGUUGAGUAACAUUAGCAAUCGCAUCGCUCAGAACUAAAAUUGACAUGAAGUUCUGAGAGAAAAUACUCAUUUGUUUAUUUGUUUCAAUCUUGGCCCACUUCUGGAGGCAUUGAGGAUGCUGCACACAGAGCCACAGCCAAGUACAUCAUCAUCUUUAUUACUGUGCAGUACAGUGUCACCUAUACUAUUGGUGAGAUUAAAUAAAAUCUAUUCCGUUUUUGGGUAAUAGAAAAGCUCAACUAUUUAAAAGUUACCUUUUUUUCCCUUCCCAGAACUUCACUUUUAUAGUACAAAUAUCUUACCAAUGUUGGAGCUGCAUCAGGUAAAAAUCUCCAGUGACAAAAGUAAAAUCCAUUUAUAGAUACCAAGUUGUUUCUGGUGUGACCUCUUCAUAGGGUUUGGUUUUAUGUAUGGCUGCAUAUAAAUGGUGCGAUCAAGGUAUAGUUUCCUUUAGUAUUAAAAGAAGGUUUGGUUGAAUUUUGCACCAGAAACUUCUGAGGUCUAGACUUGCAAAUAUGUUACAAGUGAGUAUCUCUCUUGAUAAGUAGUGCCAGCAGGAAUAGCAUUUGAUAUGCAAUUGCUUGUUCAUUGGUAACUAUAAACAAAAGUAUUAAUAUGAAUAAUUUGAAAAUAUAUAUAUUUAAGUGUAUGGGCAGCUUCACUCCAUACUUUUUGGACCUUCUGAAGUAUUGUUCUGGGAGUACAUGAAGCCAAUAUGCUAUCUGGCAAAUAUAGAAGAAUUUAACCUGAAAACUAAACAGUAAUUCAGAUGAAGGCAAUGAAAGCUUGAAAACUCAUCUUCUAGCACGAGACUGAUUAAUUUUAAGAUAAUGUUUGAAAGCAGCUAGAAAUCUUAUUACUUUUUCCAUCAUGAGCUCAUCAGUUAACACUCACCCUUAAUACUUACUGCCUGUACAUGUGAGGGAUUUUGAAUCUAUGUGACUUUUCAUUCAUAGACUGCUUGGCAGAAGGGACUUUAGUCACACAAUUUCCUAUCAGCUGUUGAAAGCUAUGGUCAAGACUCCUUGAUAAGCAUGACUGUUUUUAUCAGUAUGCUUGCAUACAAUUCCUAUUCAUUUAUUGUGUGACUUUGCCUUGGGUAAAAGCUUUCUGUUGCAUCUGUUUCCUGCGGUAUGAAGAUGUAAAUUGUUUUAAUAACAGACUAAUGGCAAAAAAGUAGGUACAAAUUUGCAGUCCGUUAAUGAAUAACUGUGCAGAAACUUUUAUCUAAGUUUCAGUCAUAAAUCUCAUUAGGAUUACCUGUCUGGAUGCUCUUUGUCUAACACAGGCCUGGAUGAUGUGGAAAUCUAUAAAUUUUCAGCAUAAGAAAUGGAGAUAGCAUAUUAAGAACUUAAUUCCAAAGGAAAAAAUAAUUAAGAACCAGCCAACAAAAGAGGAAGUGAGCAGAGGUUGGUGGCAUAAUAAAUACUUACUGAAAUGAUAUAUUUUUAAGUUCUUCCUAGUACAAAUAUUUUCAUAUAAGAUGUCUUUCUGUGAAAGCACGAAUGUAUCUAUCUUCUGAUAUUAUUCAUAUGCGUGUGUGUGUGUGCGCGCGCGCGCGCUUAGGCUUCCAACCCAUGCCAUUCUAUGGUAUGUAGAGAAUAUUUACAACAUAAUAGCUUCUUUAAAAUUAUGACAAGUUCUUCUCUAAUUACUAACAGGAUAGCACACAGAGCUAACCAUAUUUAGUGUUACCUUUGGAUGAUCCUGGGGAUUAGUGUUGUCACCAAAUUCUGUAUUUAUCUAAAUGUGAGAAAUAUUUCAUGAAACUGAUUUAAUGGGUUUUUUUUUCCUAUUUGAAAUCUGUCUUUUACAGUGCCUCAAACCUUAUUUCCCUUCACAAAAAGACUGUCAUCUGAAAUCCCUUCUGUAUCUCAUCUAUUCUGUUCCUAAUAUGUUUCAGACCAUUAACAUUCAGUUUGUUUGCCUGUUCUUCUCAAUAAAGACACAUUAUAUAAAGAAUAUCAGAUUUAUUGAAAAAGAACUCUGAAGGAAUAGCCCGGUUACUGGCAUAGGACAUUUAGCGGAAAUAAUUAGUGUCAUUUAUUAAAAUAGUAUUUUAUUUAUUAUUUAAAUAGUAUUUAUUAAAAAUUAUUAAAAAUAUUUAUUAUUUAAAUAGUAUUUAUUAAAAAUACUAUUUUUAAUAAAUGACAUGA